AUGUUAUAAACUUCCAACUCCCUGCUGAUGGCAAUGUUACCGAUUCCUCGGAAUCGUGUGAUGUCGGACAUAGUAGGUAAUGCCUUGUUCAGAUUACAGCUGAAUAACAUGUUAUUCGAAGGUGUUACUUCUGAAUAACAAAACCGUUCGCACUAGCAUUUUAGGUAAUACUAUUUGACAGCUGACAGCAUGUGUCAAGCGCCAAAUUUUUUCGAGCAGUUUGUUGUUUGUUUACAAAUAUGCAGCGAGAUUCUUCAAAUUAGAAUUCAAUUAUUAUUAAACAAUUAUUCUGUUUGCAAUAAAAUAACCGUGAUGAGAUUUAUUGAUUUGCUUUUUUUCGUAAUUGCAAGAAGGGGACCAAACAUAGAAGGCUUGAGUUCAGUAUGGGAUGAAACUGAUAAUGAUUAGUGUGCGAUAAAAAGCCAGAAGUAUUUGUGUGCUUCGUUUAAAUUUUAUUUUGCUCAUUUUUCCAUCGGAAAUUGGCUAGGAACUUUUGGUUACAAGUAGUCUUAGGUUUCGUCAUCGGUGAACGGGAUGUGAAGUCGAGGAUUCCAUAAAUAUUACACAGGCAGAAAGCAUCAAUGGAGCCUGGGAGGUCAAGAUUGUUCAGAAAUAAUGUUUAGCAGCUGCAAGAGGAGCCAACGUGAAUUCAUGUUAAACAAAAUUGUAUUACCAAAACAGUGUGACAAUGGAAUUCACGGAGCAACCGCAGCGCGAGAAAACAGGAUUCCUGGAAUCCGAGCUAACUCGCGAACAACGGUGAAAAUUCCAAAAAUAUUCAGUACUAUCGUUUGGAGCGACCGACGGCUUUUUAUUGCGAUGCCUCUAGUCCUUGGACCCAAUGGGAAGUGUCGUCAGUGUUGGUUGAUUAUUCUGCACCUAUUUUGUAGAUCCAGUUUUGCUCAAAAGGUCAUCGGAAGACCACAAGUUGCCGGUAGUGAUAGUAUUAUAAUUGGUUUUAAGAGUAAGAAACCCACCGUCGUUUCACCCACAAGAGGAUGUACGAAGUAACUUCCAAUUUUUAUAAUAAAAUAACAAUUGAACAUCAUCAUCAGAGGA